rnacentral:lncRNA from 1 species
UUUAUAUAUAAAUUUUAUAGAAUUUAAAUCUUAGAUUUUUGAGAUAUGGAAAAAAUAGUAUUUAGAUGCUUGUAAAUUAGGAUUCAUAGCACCUAUUAGGAUUUUUAAGAUGCUAGACGAUUUGUAGUAGAUUUAUAGUUUAUUUUUUUGGUAGUAAAAUUUAAGGAUAAAUUCUACAUCAUGUAUUAAUUUGAGAAAAAUUGAACCAUUGAUUUAAAAAAAUAUGAAUUUCUAAAUUUCAGAGAAAAAAAAA